AGUAAUACCUGUGAAGGAUUUCCAUCAAUUGGAAGUAACCUGGAUGUUGCCAUGCCAACUACAGCACUAUAGAAUAAAACCAAUGCACUAUAUAUCCUGGUUGCUGGGACAUGAAGGUCCUGGAAGUGUCUUGUCAUURCUAAUCAAAAAGUCAUGGGCCGUUAGUCUUAUGUGCGGUAAUGGAGAAACAGGCAUUGAACACAGUACAAAUUAUGCAAUGUUUCCUGUCAUAGUCAUUCUCACAGUAAGUUAAUGGAGAAACAGGCAUUGAACACAGUACAA